CCCGUCCCGAGCGCCCUCCC
rnacentral:miRNA from 1 species